UCCUUGGUGGUCCAGUGGCUAAGAAUCUGUGUUCCCAUUACAGAGAGCCCAGGUUCAAUCCCUGGUUAGGGAA
rnacentral:tRNA from 1 species